rnacentral:rRNA from 1 species
CCUACGGGAGGCUGCAGUGGGGAAUAUUGCACAAUGGGCGCAAGCCUGAUGCAGCCAUGCCGCGUGUGUGAAGAAGGCCUUCGGGUUGUAAAGCACUUUCAGCGGGGAGGAAGGCGGUGAGGUUAAUAACCUCAUCGAUUGACGUUACCCGCAGAAGAAGCACCGGCUAACUCCGUGCCAGCAGCCCGGUAAUACGGAGGGUGAAGCGUUAAUCGGAAUUACUGGGCGUAAAGCGCACGCAGGCGGUCUGUCAAGUCGGAUGUGAAAUCCCCGGGCUCAACCUGGGAACUGCAUUCGAAACUGGCAGGCUAGAGUCUUGUAGAGGGGGGUAGAAUUCCAGGUGUAGCGGUGAAAUGCGUAGAGAUCUGGAGGAAUACCGGUGGCGAAGGCGGCCCCCUGGACAAAGACUGACGCUCAGGUGCGAAAGCGUGGGGAGCAAACAGGAUUAGAUACCCGUGUAGUC